rnacentral:rRNA from 1 species
AGAAUCAACGCUGGCGGCGUGCCUAACACAUGCAAGUCGAACGAGAAAGUGGAGCAAUCCAUGAGUAAAGUGGCGCACGGGUGAGUAACACGUGACUAACCUACCCUUGAGUGGGGGAUAACCUAGGGAAACCUGGGCUAAUACCGCAUAAUACCUUCGGGUCAAAGGAGCAAUUCGCUCAAGGAGGGGUCGCGGCCGAUUAGUUAGUUGGCGGGGUAAUGGCCCACCAAGACUGUGAUCGGUA